GCUGCGUGUGACGUGUUGAAAAGCGAGUGGCUGAAAUGAGAGCGGAUCAGGAACUCGCUCCUGCGCGACGGGUAGCUGCGAGGCAAAACGUGAGAACUAUACAGCUAGCUGUUUCACAUCAGGCCCCGGCUGCUGCCAGUUUCCCAGGAUCUGUCCAGGGAGAGCUGAGGGUAAUAGAGUAUGUCACCUCCUUAGACGAUAGGUGCCCUUUCACCAGGGCCAUGAACUUGGUCAUGUUCCCAGGAUCACCUCUCCCAGUCUAAUUACAAAGCCCGCAGGUCCAGAUCCUCAGGCUUACUUAACCUUCCUGCCAUUCUCCCAGGAAGCCAGCCUCAGUCAGGGAGCGUCUCGUCGCCGCUGGUGCUGAAGCUCCAAUUCCAGAGGGUACAGUGCGAAUGGACCAGACUCCUGAUAAGCGACAUUCAGAGGCAUUUGAGCUGACCUGAUACAGACAGACUUAAACAACAUCCCCGUCUUAGUCUGAGUCUAGAUUAAGCCUUCUGCCUGGGAACUGAGGAUGUCUUCAGUAGUUCCACAGACCGGAAGUGCUCUCAAAUUCAAGAACGCGGUCCUGCUGAUAGCUUCCUGCAUUCGCUUCUCUCCUUUCCUGACUUGUGGACGAAGUAAAGUUAAAAGAUCCAAGGCCACAAGAAGUCCAGCCUAAAUACAGGAAAGUACAAGCAGUCGUUAAUUAACAUUGAUUAAUACCGAGGCUCUGAAGAGACAAGGGGCUUCCGUUCUAAUUAACAAUUCCUGUUUAGAACAAUUCCCAUAGAAGACCGCUUCGCUGUGCUCAGGAAGGGUGAGGUCUGUGCCCACUCCAGGUCCCUUCCUUGGCUCAAUCUUUAACCCCAGGACUUCACAUCAGAGCGGGCAAAAGACAGCGAGACAGUCCCACUGUAGGAGGUGGGCCAGUGACCCGGAGUGUUUCCCCUUUACCUGGCUCCAGAAGCUCUGUAAACCCAGCAGCCAUAUCACUCUGCAGCUCACAGCUGGCAGCCCACUGAA